rnacentral:rRNA from 1 species
GACGAACGCUGGCGGCGUGCUUAACACAUGCAAGUCGAACGCUGAAGCACCAGCUUGCUGGUGUGGAUGAGUGGCGAACGGGUGAGUAAUACGUGAGUAACCUGCCCUUGACUCUGGGAUAAGCCCGGGAAACUGGGUCUAAUACUGGAUGCUACAUGUCACCGCAUGGUGGUGGUGGGAAAGGGUUUACUGGUCUUGGAUGGGCUCACGGCCUAUCAGCUUGUUGGUGAGGUAAUGGCUCACCAAGGCGACGACGGGUAGCCGGCCUGAGAGGGUGACCGGCCACACUGGGACUGAGACACGGCCCAGACUCCUACGGGAGGCAGCAGUGGGGAAUAUUGCACAAUGGGCGAAAGCCUGAUGCAGCGACGCCGCGUGAGGGAUGACGGCCUUCGGGUUGUAAACCUCUUUCAGCAGGGAAGAAGCCACAAGUGACGGUACCUGCAGAAGAAGCGCCGGCUAACUACGUGCCAGCAGCCGCGGUAA